rnacentral:rRNA from 1 species
GCGAUAAGCGCCGGUAAGGUGAUAUGAACCGUUAUAACCGGCGAUACCCGAAUGGGGAAACCCAGUGUGAUUCGUCACACUAUCAUUAACUGAAUCCAUAGGUUAAUGAGGCGAACCGGGGGAACUGAAACAUCUAAGUACCCCGAGGAAAAGAAAUCAACCGAGAUUCCCCCAGUAGCGGCGAGCGAACGGGGAGGAGCCCAGAGCCUGAAUCAGCAUGUGUGUUAGUGGAAGCGUCUGGAAAGGCGCGCGAUACAGGGUGACAGCCCCGUACACAAAAGCGCAUGUGCUGUGAGCUCGAUGAGUAGGGCGGGACACGUGGUAUCCUGUCUGAAUAUGGGGGGACCAUCCUCCAAGGCUAAAUACUCCUGACUGACCGAUAGUGAACCAGUACCGUGAGGGAAAGGCGAAAAGAACCCCGGCGAGGGGAGUGAAAAAGAACCUGAAACCGUGUACGUACAAGCAGUGGGAGCACAGGUUUACCUGUGUGACUGCGUACCUUUUGUAUAAUGGGUCAGCGACUUAUAUUCUGUAGCAAGGUUAACCGAAUAGGGGAGC